UGUUAUUGACCGAUCACGAGGAUACUCUUAUACUAGUUACUACUCUCUUACACUUACGCACUCAAGUCUAGAUUAACCAGCCACAUUAGGUAUGAUUGAUUCCAGUUUCUGGACUAAUGUUACAACUUACAAGCAAAGUUUGAACAACUCUGUUACACCUAUCUAGCUAUUCCAGCAAUUCUCUUAAGUCUAAACAAACCAACUUAUAAGUCUAUUUAGCUUACGACGACACAACUAGAUGAAUGGGCCAGACUAAACCUGAUAGACAUUUCUUUAUUGGACCAGAACCAAAUCUGCAAGGCCCAUCCCCAUCUCAUUCACCAAUCUAUCAGGUUUUCACUUGUUGACUUCUAUUUGGCGUUGACUCCUUCGCGGCAGCUUCUUCUGCUCCGACGCCUCUUCUUCUUUUCCCUUUUGCGCUUUGCUUCUUCUCCUCUUCUUCCUUCUUCUUACUCUUAUCAUUGAAGCUUUCUCUUAUUGCAGGUUGAAUCAUGGUUCAACUCCAAUACUCCCUCUUUAAACUUUGGUUGAAACUCCCAAAUCAGUAUAAGGAUUUUGACAUCGACGUGGUGCUUUAUUUACCGGAAACAACGACGAAUCACCACCUUCUACGGCGAGCAUCUCUCUCCGCGUAGGUAUUCUUUCAACUUAUGGCUAAACAAACCUUAAAAUCGUUUCCAAACACGCAGACCGUUGGAAGUAGGAUUGAGUUUUGUUGGAGAAGGAUCCUUAGAAGAAAGAAAUUAGCCAUGGAUCGAUGACCCGAAGCUGUCCAACGGAGAUCCCAUCCCACCGGGUGAAUUCAAAGGCUAUGCCGUGAACUAGGAUGAUUCAGAGGAGCUAUCACUAUACUCACGAAUCAGAAAAGAAGAAAACAAAAAAAAAAAAAAAGCCACGCGACGGCAAUUUUAGAAAAAAGUGCGUGGAAUCGUAAAGGCAUGAUUUGGUGGGUUAGAGAACCCACAGGAAUUGCCUUCACUCGCGCAACUCGCGUUUGGUGCGCGUGGGUAUGAAAUAGAGCCUUCUGAUUGGCUGAAAUAAUUGAAAUAGUAGUGGUAUAGCUCUGAUGUUGCUCCGUUUUUAUAUAUUUUUACUCUGUUUUUCGUCUUUCUUCGCUCAUUUGACGUCUCUGCUAAAAAAACGACAAUGUGAAAGAGGGAAUGAAAACUUCCGCAUCAAACAAAGGUCGUGAUGUUCUUAUUUGCUACUCUAUAUUGUGUAGAAUUGAUUGUAAUAUUGGCUAGGCAGAGACCAACCAGCAAAACAAAAGGACCAUAUAUUGAAAACGAAGAGCUUGAAGAAGAUUAUGCCACUGCCACCUAAAGAAACAAUGUACAGAGGGAAAAACAAUCGCUGUCUUAAAAUGUUAGAAGACAGUAGUCAAGAGAAAACGAGAGACUAGUAUAGAUAUAUACUCUGACUUGUUCGCUUGUGGUUGAGAUAAGAAGGCUAGAAGGAAAAAGAGAAGGAGAAAGGAGAACAGUGGAAGAAGCUAAUUAAAGAAGAAAAAUUGAGCCUCUUAGUGGUUGGAAAGAGAAGAAACCACCGGUCUGGAGAUUGUUGAAAGAGAUGGCGAUGGGAAGAAACGCAGAGGCCGAGCAGGAGUCUCAAGUAUUGCCUAGAGUAGAAAAGGCUUCUAUGUAUGACCGUAGCGGUUUAACCAAAGAAGUGUAUGAUCACAGCCAAACGUUCUUGAUGUGGCGGAGCAUAUUGGCCGCGAAGCAGAACGCCGGGGAUGUUCAGCAUCUAUCGUCUCCACCGACGAAUUAGCCGCAACAUCAUACAAAGAGCCCGUGGAAUGUCUCCCGGAAAAUUAUUCAAGGACAAAAGUAAACCAGACUGCUUUCUCAAGAUGACCAGAAAUGAAGUCUUGACUAAAGCUGGAAGCACAAAGGGUGUCCGCCACUUCGAGUUCCAAUGUGUUUGCUCUACUAUCCAAUAUGAAGUUGGGGAUGUUGUUGAGCUCCUUUCAAGCGAAAAUCCUUCAGCGAUAGAUGCCUUUUUAGAACACUGCGAUUUAGACCCAAAGUCAUUCAUCACAGUUGGUCCGAGAGAGACAGAGAAUAGUGGUGUCAAUGAAGAAAUGAUUACAUAGCUCCCUAUCAGGCUUAAGACUUUUGUUGAAUUAACAAUGGAUGUUACAUCUGCCUCACCCCGACGAUACUUCUUUGAGGUUAUGAGCUUCUAUGCAACAGCUGAACAUGAGAAGGAGAGACCUCAAUACUUUGCAUCACCCGAAGGGAGGGAUGAUCUCUACAAUUACAAUCAGGAAGAAAGAAAGCAUUCUUGAGGUGCUAGAGGAUUUUCCUUCCGUACAAAUCCCUUUUGAGUGGCUAGUACAGCUAGUCCCACAGCUAAAAGCAAGAGCUUUUUCGAUAUCUUCGUCUCCGUUGGCCCACCCUGCUCAAAUUCAUUUGACCGUAAGCAUAAUGUUGGCUUUAGAAGAGAUUGAGUCAGAGGAGACGGGAGGAUGAAAGGAGGUUGCUUCAAGGUGGCUCAAGGCUUCGGAGAAGGCAGGGAGGUACAAUGUUGAAGCUUGGUCUUAAAUCCAACUUCUUUACGUUAUAUGAAGCCACGUAGCUUAAUUGGUUAUUGUUGUCAGAUUGAUUUUUUAACUUUAUUUUGAUAAUUCACACAAUAAGAAAGUUAACUAAAACGGAAGAUGAUUUGUUUAGUGUUAACAUAAAUAUUUAGCUUUGAAAUACGUACGUACUUUUUGUUGUUG